GAUUUAUUUUGCAGAGAUAAGAAUUUCAGUGUAACGAGCAAGAAGAAGAAGAAGAAGAAAAGCACACUGCGGCAAUCAAUUUCAAUGGCUUCCACGAGUCUCUCAUGGGCUUCAUCUUCGUUCCUUCAAAACCACACUUUGCCGAAGAACAUCAUCAAUUCAGACACCUCUAAACUCUCCGACCGAACCUCGAUUUUGACGGUCGUCGCUCAAAAGAAAGCCAAGAAAGUUCGCAAGAUUAUAUUGAAGGAGGAUGUGAAUUUACUGGGGAAGAAAGGGCAGCUGCUGGAUGUGAAAGCGGGGUAUUUUCGUAAUUAUCUUCUUCCCAUGGGCAUGGCUCAAAUUGUCACUCCUGGACUUAUCAAGGAAAUGAAGCUGGAAGACGACAGAAUCGAGGCUGAGAAAAAACGAGUGAAAGACGAGGCGCUUCAGCUCGCUCAAAUUUUCGAGACGGUCGGAGCUUUCAAGGUGAAGCGCAAAGGUGGCAAAGGAAAACAAAUUUUCGGAAGUGUCACUGCUCAAGAUCUCGUGGACAUAAUCAAAGCCCAGCUUCAAAGGGAUGUGGACAAAAGAAUUGUUUCUCUACCGGAGAUUAGAGAAACGGGGGAAUAUAUUGCGGAGCUAAAGCUCCACCCUGAUGUUACUGCUCGUGUAAGGGUGACGGUUUUUGCUAACUGAGGACAAACGGAACUUUCUAGAGAAACUCAACGAAGGUGAAAAUUCGUCUAUUGUGUCGAUUUUUUUCAGGAUUUUAUCAACCAAAAAAAUGUCGAUUUUGAACCGCGGGAAUGCCGAGAUCGGUAAGUUUUUUUCGACGUAAUGUAUUCUGUAACUUUGUUUGUAUUUAGUAGUUAAUUGUAACAAUCUUUUUUUCCAGAGUUGUUAAGCAACUUGCAAUAUUUGAUUGAUGUUAAUUGCAUAUUCUACUGCAACAAAUGAUUGUUUUCGGAAUUUUUGAAUUAGAGAAAAAUUCAUUUAAUAUUGAAA